rnacentral:rRNA from 1 species
CCUACGGGGUGCAGCAGUGGGGAAUAUUGGACAAUGGGCGAAAGCCUGAUCCAGCCAUGCCGCGUGUGUGAAGAAGGCCUUCGGGUUGUAAAGCACUUUCAGUGGGGAAGAAAGCCUUGGGGCUAAUACCCUCGAGGAAGGACAUCACCCACAGAAGAAGCACCGGCUAACUCCGUGCCAGCAGCCGCGGUAAUACGGAGGGUGCGAGCGUUAAUCGGAAUUACUGGGCGUAAAGCGCGCGUAGGCGGUCUGAUAAGCCGGUUGUGAAAGCCCCGGGCUCAACCUGGGAACGGCAUCCGGAACUGUCAGGCUAGAGUGCAGGAGAGGAAGGUAGAAUUCCCGGUGUAGCGGUGAAAUGCGUAGAGAUCGGGAGGAAUACCAGUGGCGAAGGCGGCCUUCUGGACUGACACUGACGCUGAGGUGCGAAAGCGUGGGUAGCAAACAGGAUUAGAUACCCCGGUAGU